rnacentral:rRNA from 1 species
AACGAACGCUGGCGGCAUGCCUCAUACAUGCAAGUCGAACGAGAUCUUCGGAUCUAGUGGCGCACGGGUGAGUAACAUGUGGGAAUCUACCUGAAGGUUCGGAAUAACUGCGGGAAACUGUAGCUAAUACCGGAUGUGUCUGCAAAGAGAAAGAUUUAUCGCCUUCAGAUGAGCCCGCACUAGAUUAGCUAGUUGGUGAGGUAACUGCUCCACCAAGGCUACGAUCUAUAGCUGAUUUGAGAGGAUGAUCAGCCACACUGGGACUGAGACACGGCCCAGACUCCUACGGGAGGCAGCAGUAGGGAAUAUUGGACAAUGGGGGAAACCCUGAUCCAGCAAUGCCGCGUGAGUGAAGAAGGCCUUCGGGUUGUAAAACUCUUUCAUCAAUGAUGAUAAUGACAUUAGUUGAAGAAGAAGCUCCGGCUAACUUCGUGCCAGCCGCCGCCGUAACAC